UGUGUAUAAAAAAAACUGAACCCUUUCAAAUUCAAAUUAGCUAUAACGUAUUGUAGUAAUUUGACAGCUCUAAUUGCUUUAAAUUAAUGGUUGGAUAAGAACACUAGGUCUUGUACUCAUGGGACAAAACUCAAAGAAAUAAAAAUUAGAAAAUUUAAAAGAAAUACAGUAUUCCUUGUGUUCUUACCCAACCAUUAAUUCAAGGCAAUUAGAGCUGUCAAAUUACUACAAUACGUUAUAGCUAAUUUGAAUUUGAAAGGGUUAUGAGUUUUUUUUAUACAUCCUGUAGUUGGCUUUAGAAGGUCCAGUGGAAGAUUAGCGAAAGCUAAACUGGCAUAUUUCCUUGUAAAUUAACCUUCUUUAAAUAAAGUUUUAAUAAUAAUAAUAAUAAUAAUUUUCGUUGAAAUUGAACCAAAAUUUAAUCGAUUUGUCCUUGGCCUACUACAAUUAACCCUACAAUGUUUCGUAUUAAUACGUUUGAUAUUUUACGUUUGAUAGUUAUUGCGCUAACAGACAAAACACACGCAUAUUGGCGGAGGUAAUAAUGGGUGCAAAUGAAAUAUAACCUUAUUAAAAAUCAUUAAUUUAAACAGACGUAGUUUGAGGUAAGAGCAGCAGGGCAAUUAUCACGUUUAAAGAGAGGAUAAGCAUCGUAUAAGGAAGUGCUCAAGUACGCUACAUAAUCAUGUGUUAAGACUAUUACACCAGGCUGUAAAAAUCCUUAAUCCACGAACACCGGAGGAAAAGUCUCGUUCAAAAUAGGGUACGCAUUUAAUUGAAUUAACACUAAUUUAUCUUCAUUUCCCAUGUACUGUAGUUUUAAGGGACGGACCAUUUGAUUUUUGAUGGGGGGUGGGUAGAUUUUCAGUUUGCUCGAUAUUUUUUUUCCGCCUCCUGACACUGUUCGAUUUUUUUUUGUCAGUCGGAGGACUUGCACGAUAUUUUUUUGUAUGCAUGUAUAUACAUUUUUUAGUUUUUUGUUUUUACAUUUUUUGGUGUAUAAUAGGUAAUUGGACAAGUACUGGUGUAAGACAUUGUGUAGCCUAAAUAAUGAGAGUACCAGUAUUCCAAAAAUGGUUGUUCUUCAUUUCUUUACUCCGACUCCUAUGAUGAACAUGUACGUAAAAAAAACUAGGGAAACUACGAUUAAUUGCCAAACGCCCCUAUCCCUGUCUUAUAAGCUCCUACACCACUAACACCAUAUUUGGAUGCAAUCACCUACAGUCACAUGAUCAUCCUUAUCACAAUCAUUCAAACUCACUAUACCAUUGAGUAAGUUAACCCUUAAUUGAAGGACCUGCAAAUUUGCUUCACUUCACCAAUACGAACGAUGAACAAUAAAGUGCGUAGUGUUGGAAUGUCCCGCAAACAACAAGGCCUUUGGUAGGAUAACUUGACUAAUAACAUGUAUAGUAGUUACAUCGUUUCACCUUCGUUUUUGUACUGUGUAAUUGGUUAUUUUCCGUUAUUUUAUAAUAAUAAUAACUCCUUCCUUCUCCUCUUCAAAUUCUCCUAAACUCUCCUUCCUUCUCCUCUUCAAAUUAUAUUAUAUCUACACCCCCUCCUCUUAAAAAAGCCUGCUGAAGAAAACUGUUAGGUCGAAACGCAUACCCCUGUACGCUAUUCCUAUACUCAAUUUCAACCUCUCGCUCUUAUAUCCUCGCCUUUGAUCGUGUCCCAUAAAAAUUUCACCUAUUUAGUUUCNNNNNNNNNNNNNNNNNNNNAAGGCCCGAGGAAAUUUUUUAAUUUAGAGUCUCUGAAAUGCCAUUUUCCUGGACCCUGCAGCCCGGCUACAUUCGGAAAUGCACCGAAUGGCAAAUAAGGAUUACCACUCGAAAGUCUUGCUCGAUAUUUUUUUUUGUCCGUUUAUUCUUGCACGAUAUUUUUUUUAAGUUCAAAUUGCUUGCCCGAUAUUUUUUUUGGGAUUCUACCCACCCCCCCAUCAAAUAUCAAAUGGUCCGUCCCUUAG
rnacentral:lncRNA from 1 species